CAGCCUGAAGCUGCUUUCUGGGUGACCUGCUUCUACCUCCGUCUGUGUGGAGCACUCCAUGUCCAUCUGAUCUCAUCGUGCAAACGACUGCUUCCCCACAGAUGUAGUCAAAGACUGGAGAGAGAAGGAUGGUGACUUUCUCCCCAGAUAACCAGCAUGUAGAACACUUGUGGAAGAGAUGGAGUUGCAUUUACAGAUCUGAUGGAUGGCCUCCAUGGCGACGGUAGCAUUAAUCUUGAUGGAUGACCUGAAGAGAUGAGAUGCUGCUGGAAACUAAUCCAGAUGUAAGAUCUCCUCCAACACCACCUGCAAGAAAAUUUGAAUUUCUAAAUGUUUUAUAUUAUUACAGACCUAACGAGGAGAUGAACUUGGAAUAAACUUCAAUGUGGACAUGUGGAACCAGAACAUUUGGAGGAAGUUUGAAUUCAUCCACAUUCUCAGCCUGAACAUAGAUGAGAUUUGACAAAGAUCAGAUCUGCUGAAGGUCAUCAAAUACCUGAACCCGGAUGGUGUAUUAGACUGGAGGCAGCUUUGAAUCCUAGAACCUGACCAGACCCCAGACCUACAUCAACCAGUAACCCUGACGAGGAGUGUUGAAUAACCCUUACAGAGCUGAGGUCUGAUGUCAUCUUCCUGGUUCAUGCGUCUGGACUGAAACCAUUUUUCUGAUGGACUGGAAGGUGGAGGUGCUGCUGGGAUGGUGUGACAUGGAUUUUUACUAUCCAAUCAGAACUGGGAUUCUGGAAAUAUUCUUUUUCUAAAACAUUUUCUACCACGGUGGUUGUACAUAGUGUAGUGUGGGUGUGUUGUGCUGACACCUACCUGAUGUUCACCUGUGGUGGAAGUAAUUAGUCUCAGUGUUAGAGGGGAUAGAGGGGGGGUCGAGGAGGACUGGAGGUUGUGGCAGUUGAAGUAGAGGCACUGUGGUGGGUGGGUGCUGCUCGCAGCUUAUAGUGCUGCCGGCAGUGAAGACAGCUGAGUAGGGGAGCUGCAUCCUGCUGGUUAGGAGGGGAGGCUGGAUGCCUCCUUUAGGUAGCUAGGGACUGGGGAUUAGUUGGUGCCUUGCCUGCGUGUCACUGAGCGCCUUUAUCCAUCUUUGUGACUGUGGCACUAGAGACUCCGUGAUAUGUCCUCCU